UCCAACCGCCAGGCCUGGACGACGGCCGCUU
rnacentral:sRNA from 1 species